rnacentral:rRNA from 1 species
UGGGGAAUAUUGCACAAUGGGCGGAAGCCUGAUGCAGCGACGCCGCGUGAGGGAUGACGGCCUUCGGGUUGUAAACCUCUUUCAGUAGGGACGAAGCGUAAGUGACGGUACCUGCAGAAGAAGCACCGGCUAACUACGUGCCAGCAGCCGCGGUAAUACGUAGGGUGCGAGCGUUGUCCGGAAUUACUGGGCGUAAAGAGCUCGUAGGCGGUUUGUCACGUCGUCUGUGAAAUCAUAGGGCUUAACCCUGGACGUGCAGGCGAUACGGGCUGACUUGAGUACUACAGGGGAGACUGGAAUUUCUGGUGUAGCGGUGGAAUGCACAGAUAUCAGGAAGAACACCGAUGGCGAAGGCAGGUCUCUGGGUAGUAACUGACGCUGAGGAGCGAAAGCAUGGGUAGCGAACAGG